AUUGAACGCUGGCGGCAUGCUUUACACAUGCAAGUCGAACGGUAACAGGUUAAGCUGACGAGUGGCGAACGGGUGAGUAAUGCAUCGGAACGUGCCCGAUCGUGGGGGAUAACGCAGCGAAAGCUGCGCUAAUACCGCAUACGAUCUGAGGAUGAAAGCGGGGGACCGUAAGGCCUCGCGCGAUCGGAGCGGCCGAUGUCAGAUUAGGUAGUUGGUGGGGUAAAGGCCCACCAAGCCGACGAUCUGUAGCUGGUCUGAGAGGACGACCAGCCACACUGGGACUGAGACACGGCCCAGACUCCUACGGGAGGCAGCAGUGGGGAAUUUUGGACAAUGGGCGAAAGCCUGAUCCAGCCAUUCCGCGUGAGUGAAGAAGGCCUUCGGGUUGUAAAGCUCUUUCGCAAGGGAAGAAAACUUAAGCUCUAACAUAGCUUGAGGUUGACGGUACCUUGAUAAGAAGCACCGGCUAACUACGUGCCAGCCGCCGCCGUAA
rnacentral:rRNA from 1 species